rnacentral:rRNA from 1 species
UACAGAGGUCUCAAGCGUUGUUCGGAUUCAUUGGGCGUAAAGGGUGCGUAGGCGGCGCGGUAAGUCGGGUGUGAAAUCUCGGAGCUUAACUCCGAAACUGCAUUCGAUACUGCCGUGCUCGAGGACUGGAGAGGAGACUGGAAUUUACGGUGUAGCGGUGAAAUGCGUAGAUAUCGUAAGGAAGACCAGUGGCGAAGGCGGGUCUCUGGACAGUUCCUGACACUGAGGCACGAAGGCCAGGGGAGCAAACGGG